rnacentral:rRNA from 1 species
GCGCAACCCCUAUUGUUACGUUGCCAUCAUUCAGUUGGGCACUCUAGCGAGACUGACCGGUAAUAAACCGGAGGAAGGUGGGAUGACGUCAAAUCAUCAUGCCCUUAUGACCUGGGCUACACACGUGCUACAAUGGUUGGUACAACGAGUUGCGAGUCGGUGACGGCGAGCUAAUCUCUUAAAGCCAAUCUCAGUUCGGAUUGUAGGCUGCAACUCGCCUGCAUGAAGUCGGAAUCGCUAGUAAUCGCGGAUCAGCACGCCGCGGUGAAUACGUUCCCGGGCCUU